GGCUGGGCGGCGGGUGCCAUGCGCCGGCAGCCGCACGGUCUCAGCGCCCGCCCACCCGCCCGCCUUCCACGGUCACGCCUCGGACGCCCAGCACCUGCCCCGCAGGUUUCUUAAGCCUUCUUGAUUAGUCCAUUUGUGUGUGUGUGUGUGGACAACAGUGAGCCAGUACCCAGGAAAAGAGAUAUUCUCAAAGAUGGCAGCACAGAUGAAAGAAUGCCAGAAAAGCUUGGCGCCAGCCGACUUCAACAGCAGCAAACAGCUAUCACCUGCCUACUCUCAACUUACCCAUCUUCUAAAAAAAAAAAAGCAGAACCUAAGUUUAACCUCUGAGUUAAAGAGCAGAGCCCAAGCAGCCAGGGUGGCUCAGUGGUUUAGCACCGCCUUCAGCCCAGGGGCAUGAUCCUGGAGACCUGUGAUUGAGUCCCAUGUCCCUGCAUGGAGCCUGCUUCUCCCUCUGCCUGUGUUUCUGCCUCUCUUUC